rnacentral:rRNA from 1 species
UACAGAGGGGGCAAGCGUUAUUCGGAAUUAUUGGGCGUAAAGGGCGCGUAGGCGGUUUGUCGCGUCGGCCGUGAAAUCUCCACGCUUAACGUGGAGCGUGCGGUCGAUACGGGCAGACUUGAGUUCGGUAGGGGAGACUGGAAUUCCUGGUGUAGCGGUGAAAUGCGCAGAUAUCAGGAGGAACACCGGUGGCGAAGGCGGUUCUCUGGGCAUGUCCUGACGCUGAGGAGCGAAAGUGUGGGGAGCGAACAGG